UACAGAGGGUGCGAGCGUUAAUCGGAAUUACUGGGCGUAAAGCGUGCGUAGACGGCUAUCUAAGUCGGGUGUGAAAUCCCCGGGCUCAACCUGGGAACUGCAUUUGUGACUGCAUGGCUAGAGUACGGUAGAGGGGGAUGGAAUUCCGCGUGUAGCAGUGAAAUGCGUAGAUAUGCGGAGGAACACCGAUGGCGAAGGCAAUCCCCUGGACCUGUACUGACGCUCAUGCACGAAAGCGUGGGGAGCAAACAGG
rnacentral:rRNA from 1 species